rnacentral:rRNA from 1 species
UGCCCACUGAUUAAUAAUUAAAGGGCUGCAGUAAUUUGACUGUACAAAGGUAGCAUAAUCAUUAGUCAUUUAAUUGGUGACUUGUAUGAAAGAUUGGAUGAGAUAUAUACUGUCUUAAAAGUAUAAUUUAAAAUUUAAUUUUUUAGUUAAAAAGCUAAAAUAUAUUAAAAAGACGAGAAGACCCUAUAGAGUUUUAUUAGUUAUUAAAAUUAGGAUUAUUUAUAAAUAUAAUGUAUUAUUAAUUAAUUAAAAUUUUAAAAUUAAUUUAGUUGGGGUGAUUAAAAAAUUAAAUUAACUUUUUUUUUAUUAUACAUUGAUAAGUGGUUUUUUGAUCCAUUAAUAUUGAUUAAAAGAAAAAAUUACCUUAGGGAUAACAGCGUAAUUUUGUUUUUUAGUUCAAAUAAAAAAUAGAGUUUGCGACCUCGAUGUUGGAUUAAGAUAAAAUUUAAGUGCAGAAGUUUAAAAUUUUGA